AGGAAGAAAAAAUUGAAGAAGGUCACAUGUUCCUGUUUGCUUUCACCGAGUCUCAAACAGAAUAUUUUCUGCUUGAGUUGUCAAUAUAGGACCCCUAAUAAUAAUUAUAAUCAAUCUCUUAUAAUCUUCUCUAUUAAUAAUUCAAAGUGCUAUUAAUAAAACAAUCAUCAUUGAAAUCAGCCAUCUGAUUUUUCUUGUAAGAUGAUAUCAUCUUGAGGCAGUAGAGAUGACGAAUCAAGUCUUGCCUGCGCUUUUCUUUUAGUCAUGUUAUCCCGAAACUAACUCUUGUAGCUUCAUUUUCUCUUUUUUCAUACAUUAUCGAACAAGAGUUCAUAAAGAGGAGUAGUAUAAUUUCUGCAGAGCUCCAUAUUGGAUUUAAAUCUUCAACUUCAAACAGAUAAACAGGAUGCAGUUCCGGUUUCCGAUUUUACUUCUAAUUGUGGCGUUGCUGAGUAUUGUCACUAUCUCGUCCGCAGCUCGUUCAAGAGAAAAUAUCAGGCCUAUGAGCAUUAUGAACAUGAAACCAAACUGUCCACAAGGAGCUUAUAAAGUUAACGGCCAAUGGAGAUGCAGAAAAUAACAGCAUUAUGGUACGCCCCUCUACAAUUCUAUUAGUGGAAGCCAGUUUCAAGGCCAGCAGAGGGGUCUACCACGUCAAACAAGAUCGACCAAUCAAAAGCGAGUAUUAUUUCGAUACAGGUGCCUAGUCCUAAUCCACGCCCACAACGCCCGCUCAUUGGCUGUCGCUGCUACAUCAUUGCAGAGAUUCCAUUUUCUUGAUCUACAUACUAUUGGAGUGAUGUGAUGUUUUUGCUUGAAUCUCAAUAAUAAUUAUUAUCCAUGAAGAGAGUUGAAGAUGGGUGAUACAUGUUAUGCUCGGUCUUCAUAAUUAUUAUUAUAUAAUAAAUGGAAUUUUAAAAAUGAAUAUUGGUUGAGAUUCUUUUUUGAAAUUUUGAAUGAUCUCGCAUAGAUUCUUGAAGAGAUUGAAAAAAGUGGAAUGAUAAUGAUAUUGUAGAUAUGAUUAUUUAUUAUAGAAUGAAUGAAAUUAAUUGAAUAAAACCCGAUUUUCAAACUUUUGGAUGUGACUACAUGUAGCUUCAUGUAACCAUGUGUAAUCUGUAACAUGCUAUUUGUUUUGUAAUUCUUUGUUAUUUUGUUUUGUGUGUUUUUAAUAAAUUGAAAUUGAAAUAUCUAAA